UACGUAGGGGGCUAGCGUUGUCCGGAAUCAUUGGGCGUAAAGCACGUGUAGGCGGUCCGGUAAGUCCGCUGUGAAAGUCGGGGGCUCAACCCUCGGAUGCCGGUGGAUACUGUCGGGCUUGAGUACGGAAGAGGCGAGUGGAAUUCCUGGUGUAGCGGUGAAAUGCGCAGAUAUCAGGAGGAACACCAAUUGCGAAGGCAGCUCGCUGGGACGUUACUGACGCUGAGACGCGAAAGCGUGGGGAGCAAACAGG
rnacentral:rRNA from 1 species